rnacentral:rRNA from 1 species
AGCGAACGCUGGCGGCAGGCUUAACACAUGCAAGUCGAACGGGCAUAGCAAUAUGUCAGUGGCAGACGGGUGCGUAACGCGUGGGAACGUACCUUUUGGUUCGGAACAACACAGGGAAACUUGUGCUAAUACCGGAUAAGCCCUUACGGGGAAAGAUUUAUCGCCGAAAGAUCGGCCCGCGUCUGAUUAGCUAGUUGGUAGGGUAAUGGCCUACCAAGGCGACGAUCAGUAGCUGGUCUGAGAGGAUGAUCAGCCACAUUGGGACUGAGACACGGCCCAAACUCCUACGGGAAGCAGCAGUGGGGAAUAUUGGACAAUGGGCGAAAGCCUGAUCCAGCCAUGCCGCGUGAGUGAUGAAGGCCCGAGGGUUGUAAAGCUCUUUUGUGCGGGAAGAUAAUGACGGUACCGCAAGAAUAAGCCCCGGCUAACUUCGUG